rnacentral:rRNA from 1 species
UACGGAGGGUGCGAGCGUUGUCCGGAAUCACUGGGCGUAAAGGGCGCGUAGGUGGCGCGGGCAGUCAACGGUGAAAGUUCGGGGCUCAACCCUGAAUCGGCCGUCGAUACUCCCGGGCUUGAGCACUGUAGAGGCAGAUGGAAUUCCGGGUGUAGCGGUGGAAUGCGUAGAGAUCCGGAAGAACACCGGUGGCGAAGGCGGUCUGCUGGGCAGUAGCUGGCACUGAGGCGCGACAGCGUGGGGAGCAAACAGG